rnacentral:misc_RNA from 1 species
UCACUACUUGCGUAGGCAGUCCGGCUAGAGUCCCCACCACUACGUGCUGGUAACUAACCGCAGGGGUUGCGCUCGUUGCGCCACUUAAGGCAACACCUCACGGCACGAGCUGACGACAGCCAUGCAGCACCUUCGCGGGCGCCCCGAAGGGAAGCCCCGUUUCCGGGACCGUCGCCCGCGAUUUAGCCUGGGUAAGGUUCUUCGCGUUGCAUCGAAUUAAGCCACAUGCUCCACCGCUUGUGCGGGCCCCCGUCAAUUCCUUUGAGUUUCAUUCUUGCGAACGUACUCCCCAGGUGGUAUGCUUAGCGCGUUAGCUGCGGCACCGGCCCCACAGGGGCCGACACCUAGCAUACAUCGUUUACGGCGUGGACUAC